rnacentral:rRNA from 1 species
GGCUGCCUACGGGACGCAGCAGUAGGGAAUCUUCCACAAUGGGCGAAAGCCUGAUGGAGCAACGCCGCGUGGGUGAAGAAGGUCUUCGGGUCGUAAAACCCUGUUGUUAGAGAAGAAAGUGCGUGAGAGUAACUGUUCACAUUUCGACGGUAUCUAACCAGAAAGCCACGGCUAACUACGUGCCAGCAGCCGCGGUAAUACGUAGGAGGCAAGCGUUAUCCGGAUUUAUUGGGCGUACAGGGA